UACGUAGGUGGCAAGCGUUGUCCGGAUUUAUUGGGUUUAAAGGGUGCGUAGGCGGUUCUAUAAGUCAGUGGUGAAAUCCGGCAGCUCAACUGUCGAUGUGCCAUUGAUACUGCAGAACUUGAGUACAGACGAGGUAGGCGGAAUUGACGGUGUAGCGGUGAAAUGCUUAGAUAUCGUCAAGAACACCGAUAGCGAAGGCAGCUACUAGACUGUAACUGACGCUGAUGCACGAAAGUGU
rnacentral:rRNA from 1 species